AAUUGUAAAUAUAGUCAUAUAUUACAAACCCACCACUCCCCCCGACCUAAACCAUUUAUAUAAAAUAGUAUGGGCGACAGAAAAUUUACAAGCACAAUAAAUAAAGUACUGCAAAGGAAAAAUGAAAUAGAAAUUAAAUAAGUCAUCAAAAUAUAAUAAAGCAAAGAUUACAACCUGUACCUUUUGCAUCAUGGUCUAGCAAGUAUUACCCAACAAAAAGAAUUUAAGCAGGACCCCCCGAAACCAGACGAGCUACCCUAAGGCAACACAUAAAUUCAUCUCUGUGGCAAAAGAGUGAAAAGACCCAAAGGUAGAGGCAACAAACCUAACGAGCCUGGACAUAGCUGGUUACUUGAGAAUGAAUUUUAGUUCAAUUAAAAGCGAUCCUACCCCCAAGGAAAAACACCGCUUCUAUUAUAACCAAUUAAGGUACAACUUAAUUAAUAAAGGAAACAACCUAAACUAAUAAAUAAUGAUUAUAAUUAUUAAGGACCUCAACUCAGUAGGCCCAAAAGCCGCCACCAUAUUAAUAGCGUCAAAGCUUAACUAACACAACACCCAUUAUUACAAUAAAUAAUCUAAAUUUAACAAAACAAUCAAGUUAAUCUAUAUAUAGAUAAAUUAUUACUAGAAUGAGUAACAAGGAAUACCUCGAUAUACAUGUGUAAAUCGGAACGAACCACUCACCGAUAACUAACGAAUAUAUUUCUUUUUAACAAGACAUAAAUAUUUUAAAUCGUUUACCCAACACAGGAGUAUUUAAGAAAGACUUAAAAUCCAGAAAGGAACUCGGCAAACCCAGGCCCCGCCUGUUUACCAAAAACAUCGCCUUUUGAAUUAUAAACAUAAAAGGUCCCGCCUGCCCAGUGACACUGUUCAACGGCCGCGGUAUUAUGACCGUGCAAAGGUAGCGUAAUCACUUGUCUUUUAAAUAAGGACCAGUAUGAAUGGCAAAACGAGGGCCUAACUGUCUCUCUAGAUUAGUCAGUGAAAUUGAUUUUCCCGUGCAGAAGCAGGAAUAAUAAUAUAAGACGAGRAGACCCUGCGGAGCUUUAAACUUAAGCUAACACAAUUUAAAGUAUAGCAACUAGUUUUUGGUUGGGGCGACCAUGAGGCAAAAACCCCCUCAAGACACAAUUAGAAGGACACUUCAAAAACAUAAUAUAUAUGUAUUUGACCCAAUAUUUGAUCAACGAAAUAAGUUACCCCAGGGAUAACAGCGCAAUCCACUCACAGAGCCCCUAUCGACGAGCGGGUUUACGACCUCGAUGUUGGAUCAGGACUACCAAAUGGUGCAGCAACUAUUAAAGGUUCGUUUGUUCAACGAUUAAAGUCCUACGUGAUCUGAGUUCAGACCGGAGUAAUCCAGGUCAGUUUCUAUCUAUAAUAAGAUUUUUCCAGUACGAAAGGACCGAAAAACCAAGGCCCAUAAAAAACUCAAGCCUUCUCAACAACUUCUGAAAAUAAAUAAAGAAGUUGAUGAAAAAAUAAG
rnacentral:rRNA from 1 species